rnacentral:rRNA from 1 species
GACGAACGCUGGCGGCGUGCCUAACACAUGCAAGUCGAACGGAGAAGCUUUGACCGUUUUCUUCGGAAUGGAUGAGAUGUAGUUUGGUGGCUGACGGGUGAGUAACGCGUGCGUAACCUGCCUUCAAGCGGAGAAUAACGUUCUUAAAAGAAUGCUAAUACCGCCUGACAUAUCGUAAGCACAUGUAUGUGAUAGCUACGGUUUUAGCGUGUUAAGAUGGCCGCGCGUCCGUUGAGUUAGUGGGUGCUGUCCCGGCGCACGAAGACUGCGAUCGCUAGCCGGACUGGGAGGGUGACCGGCCACAUACUGACAGAGGCACGGCCCGGACUCCUUCGGGAGGCAGCAGUGGGGGAGAGUUCGCGAUGGGCGCAACCCGGACUCAGCAACGCCGCGUGAUGAACGUAUGUUGUCGGAGUGUAAACUUCUUUUAUUAAGUACGUAAAAUGACGGUACCUAAUGAAGAAGCUCCGGCUAACUACGUG